rnacentral:tRNA from 1 species
CUCGGAUAGUUAAUUAAUACACUUAGGCUGUGAACCUAAGAACUAGGGAUGAACCCUUCCGAGCC